GACAGAGGAUGCAAGCGUUAUCCGGAAUGAUUGGGCGUAAAGCGUCUGUAGGUGGCUUUUCAAGUCCGCCGUCAAACCCCAGGGCUCAACCCUGGACAGGCGGUGGAAACUACCAAGCUGGAGUACGGUAGGGGCAGAGGGAAUUUCCGGUGGAGCGGUGAAAUGCGCAGAUAUCAGGAGGAACACCGAUGGCGAAGGCAGGUCUCUGGGCAUUAACUGACGCUGAGGAGCGAAAGCAUGGGGAGCGAACAGG
rnacentral:rRNA from 1 species